UCCUGCCUCAGCCUUCCGAGUAGCUGGGACUAUAGGUGCCCGCCACCACGCCAGGCUAAUUUUUUGUAUUUUUAGUAGAGAUGGGGUUUCACCGUGUUAGCCAGGAUGGUCUCGAUCUUCUGACCUCGUGAUCUGCCCGCCUCGGCCUCCCAAAGUGCUAGGAUUACAGGCGUGAGCCACCGCGCCCGGCAGCAAAUUUUAAGUAUUGAUGGAUGGUUGGGUGACAUGGACUCCAGUAUGUGCCAUGAGGGAUACGAAGAUGAAGCUGUCAUGAACUCUGCUCUCGAGAAGCUACUGUCAAACCUUCUCAACGUGAACACCACAAGGAUGAAGACCUUUAUAAUGAUCCAUCUCCACUUAAUUAAGAAUAAAUAUUUUUUCUCUUACUCAUGAUUUUAUUAAUGGUAUUUUCUCUAGCUUACUUUAUUAUAAAAAUACAGUAUAUAAUACAUAUAGCACACAAAAUAUGUGUUGAUCGACUAUUUAUGUUAUUGAUAAGGCUUCCAGUCAAAAGUAGGCUAAUAGUAGCUACAUUUUUGGCAAAUCAAAGGCUAAUUACAUGGAUCUGAUCACUAUACAUUAUGUAUAUCAC